rnacentral:rRNA from 1 species
UACGUAGGGCGCAAGCGUUAUCCGGAAUUAUUGGGCGUAAAGAGCUCGUAGGCGGUUUGUCGCGUCUGCCGUGAAAGUCCGGGGCUCAACUCCGGAUCUGCGGUGGGUACGGGCAGACUAGAGUGAUGUAGGGGAGACUGGAAUUCCUGGUGUAGCGGUGAAAUGCGCAGAUAUCAGGAGGAACACCGAUGGCGAAGGCAGAUCUCUGGGCAUUAACUGACGCUGAGGAGCGAAAGCAUGGGGAGCGAACAGG